AAUUUUUCUAUUCAGUUUUGUGGGGCGGCGGCCGUUUGUUCUAGGUGAGAAGGGUUGACCGAGGCCGGGCGGAGAUGGCGGAGGGGAAGGCGAGUCUCCUCGCCGGUGAGGCGGAGAUGGUGCGCGGCCAGUCCCCGCAUGGAGAGCUCGUAGGCACGAGGCGUGCUUCACAGGGAUGGCUCCAGGUUGGAGAGAUGUGGGCAUGAAGAGGAGCUCAACGGAGCUGCCCCGUCGUGCUCGCCACCAGCAAACUCCAGUCGGUUGGGGCAGUACUAGUCGCCGGCGCCGAUGAGGCGCAAGGUUAUGCAGGCCGGCGUGCCGGAGACGGCACCAUUCUCUCACUGCGGUGGCAUCCAUUACCCGACGACGGCGUGGAUUUAGGACUGUUAUACGUUUAUGGAGCCUCGUGUCAGCAAUUAUCCAAAAACUACAGGGUUGUUGACAGCUCAAACCUCGGCCAACAUGGUCGGUCGGAACCAUCAUGAGCUAGCAGGCAGCUGAGGUCUGCACAGGCUUGCUACGGGCAAAAACGUUAGAUGCGGCUAAUGCAUGUAGGCGAAGGGUUUCUUUCUGUUAUGCGGCGUCAUAGACAAGUACAGCGGCUAGCGACGAUUUAUUCAGUGCGAAGAGUCAUUAUGGCAGCAGCUGGUAGAUGAACUUCAGUGACAGCAAUGCAUGCAAAUCAAGUGUUUUUGUGUCGUGUUAUUAAGGACAACAGCUAGGAAGAAUACAUUCAGACUCCAUCUCACGGCAUGGGCUGGGCAUAUUGAGUGUGAAAUGCCUUUGGAAGCACAAGCUGAUGUUAAAGGCUGCAGAAAUGGACGACACCGUUGUGAUCCAUUAGUAUUUGAUUCCAGCCAAGUGUCGAGAUUAGCAAUGUUCAGUCCACCAUGAGCUUUAGCCUUCGUUUUGUACUUUUUUUGGGUAACAUUUAGUCCAUCCUUUUUUAUCACGAGGAACAUGAGCCGCUGAAGUAAUGUGAAGACUGGGUAGUUUCUUCAGUUUCUUUCGUCAUUGUUUAGGCAUGAGCAGAUGAAGUAAUGUGAAGACUAGGAGGGCCACACAGGCAUUUGUGUCUAAGUUAGUUAGCAUAAUUUUUUACAUUCAUUUCAAAGUCCAUCAUUUUUAUCAUCGAGAGAAGAUCAGUUAUCUCUGUUUGUUAGUUUAAGUCAUCUUUCAUUCACUCACCUUAGUUUCUUACUGUACCUCAGUAUCUUAGUUCAAUUGGUUUUUCUCUCUUCAGUUGUACAUUUUUCUAGGUUUCAGUUUCAGUGUCUCCUUUCCUUAGUUUCGUAUCUCCUUUUCAGUUUUAGUCUCAUUUGUUCCUUAGUUUCAUUAUGUCGAAAUUACCUUUCCUCUUAUUUCAGUCCUUCAUGUUGUGAUUGUUCAGUUUAUUCAUUCGAUCGUUUCCGUGAGUGCUCAGUGUUCAAUUUGUAUUCAUUCUCUAUCUCAGUCCUUCAGUAUAUAUGUCCUCAGUUUUCUUCAGUUUCAGAUUUCUGUAUUUUAGGUUCAGUGUCAUUUUAAGUCUUAUUCAGGUUUCAGUUAUUUGUAUCUUUCUCGUGCUACUCGUUCAUGUUCCUUGUCCUCAGUUGUUUUGUCAUUUCAGUAUUUCAGUUUUAGUAAUUGUUCAGAUCGUCGUCACAUCUUCUGUUAGACUAUAAGUCAAUGUUCAGAUAGUUGACUCAUCAUUGUUCAGUUGUUCUUGCAUCAUCUUAGUCAUAUUCAGUAGGUGUUUUUUUUUCGUUAUCUCAUGUUCAGUCUUUCUCUGUAAAAGAAAUCCAGUAUGUGUCACUUUUUCCUUCAGUUACAGUCAUGAUUAUCGUCAUGUUUCAGUUUUGUAGUCAGUCUUCGUUGUUAUGGUCAUUAAUUCCCCUAGGACAGUUAGCUAGUUUUACUUUUACCAAGUCAUUUUCAUUCCUGAAAUAAAGGUAUUAUUAUUCCUCAGCCAUCAAUUAUCUUCUUUUGUCCUGAGUGUCCAGUUUGCCUCUUUGUUCAGUCUGCUCAUGAUUAACUCAGCAAGUCUCCCACACUAGUGUUUAUCAGUAUCUCAGUUCUAGUUUUCAUUUUCCUCAUGAUUGCACAGUUUUAGUUUUAGUUUCUUCAGUCUCUGUUAAGUGUUUGUAUACUCAGUGAUUGAUCAAUUAUCAGAUUUUUAUGCAGGAAGGUGAUCGCAUUUUUAUUGAGUUCUUCUCUGCCAAGUGGAACAACAGGGACACAAUGAAGGAAGGGCAGUGUGUUGCUACCUGAGAUGAUUCCCCUUGGGGUGGCUCCAGGUGGUUGUGCUCUGGAUCGUAAGCAGUAACCCUCAGAUGCUUCCUCCGGCUCAGCAUGCAUGCUUGUUUCAUUUGAUUCAGGUGUGUGUUCUCCACCCGCAGCAACCGAUGUUUUUUCAGUUUUCAUUAGUCUCUAUCUUCGGAAGUAGUUUCGCAUGUACCUCUUCUCUAAAGGAAUGGAAAGUCGCAUACUGUCAAAGCGUUCCCUUUUCA